UACGGAGGGAGCAAGCGUUACUCGGAAUUAUUGGGCGUAAAGGGCGCGUAGGCGAUCUGACAAGUCUGGUGUGAAAGCCCACAUGUUAACUGUGGAAGUGCAUUAGAAACUGUUGGAUUUGAGUUCAGGAGAGGAAGGCAGAAUUCCCGGUGUAGCGGUGAAAUGCGCAGAUAUCAGGAAGAACACCUAUGGCGAAAGCAGCUCUCUGGGACGGUACUGACGCUGAGACGCGAAAGCGUGGGGAGCGAACAGG
rnacentral:rRNA from 1 species